AUUGAACGCUGGCGGCAUGCCUAACACAUGCAAGUCGAACGGAGGGCUUCGGCCCUCAGUGGCGGACGGGUGAGGAACACGUAGGAAUCGGCCCACGAGUGGGGGACAACCUGGGGAAACUCAGGCUAAUACCGCAUACGCUCGCGAGAGGAAAGCGGGGGACCUUCGGGCCUCGCGCUGGUGGACGAGCCUACGUCCGAUUAGCUAGUUGGUGGGGUAAAGGCCUACCAAGGCGACGAUCGGUAGCGGGUCUGAGAGGACGACCCGCCACACUGGGACUGAGACACGGCCCAGACUCCUACGGGUGGCAG
rnacentral:rRNA from 1 species